GUGCUGCUUCAGCAGCACAUAUACUAAAAUUGGAACUAUUAAGCAGAAGAUUAGCGUGGCCCCUGAGCAAGGAUGACGUGCAAAUUCGUGAAGCGUUCCACAUUUAA
rnacentral:snRNA from 1 species